CUGGCGGCAGGCCUAACACAUGCAAGUCGAGCGAAGCCUUCGGGCUUAGCGGCGGACGGGUGAGUAACGCGUGGGAACGUGCCCUUUGCUACGGAAUAGCCCCGGGAAACUGGGAGUAAUACCGUAUGUGCCCUUCGGGGGAAAGAUUUAUCGGCAAAGGAUCGGCCCGCGUUGGAUUAGGUAGUUGGUGGGGUAAUGGCCUACCAAGCCGACGAUCCAUAGCUGGUUUGAGAGGAUGAUCAGCCACACUGGGACUGAGACACGGCCCAGACUCCUACGGGAGGCAGCAGUGGGGAAUCUUAGACAAUGGGGGCAACCCUGAUCUAGCCAUGCCGCGUGAGUGAUGAAGGCCCUAGGGUUGUAAAGCUCUUUCAGUCGUGAAGAUAAUGACGGUAGCGACAGAAGAAGCCCCGGCUAACUCCGUGCCAGCAGCCGCGGUAAUACGGAGGGGCUAGCGUUGUUCGGAAUUACUGGGCGUAAAGCGCGCGUAGGCGGACUGGAAAGUCAGAGUGAAAUCCCAGGGCU
rnacentral:rRNA from 1 species